AGGCUUGGGGGUAUUUCCAAUGACGUGCUUGGAGCUGGAGUUGAACCAGCGACCUUAGGAUCACAGCGUUUCACACAAGGAGCAUCUUACAGUCCACCGGUCUACCAACUGAGCUAUCAAGGUGCUCUCUAGUCACAAGUGCAGAAAACAUAGUGGCUUCGAAGACACACUAUGCCCACAGAACUAUUCCAACCCAUGGUCAAUGAAAAGCCCAGCCCUACCUGCAGAACAAAGCUUUGCAGUUUGUACCCAACAGUCAUUGCCAGGGACCCAGAACUGAUAAUCAGGACUUUUAGGCUGGGUGAAUAAAAAAUUGAUGGUUGAAAAUUUAAGAAAGAGUUAACUUGUUUGUGUUUUGACAUUUUGGAGGAGUUGACAGAUAAAGACAAGGCUUGGGGGUAUUUCCAAUGACGUGCUUGGAGCUGGAGUUGAACCAGCGACCUUAGGAUCACAGCGUUUCACACAAGGAGCAUCUUACAGUCCACCGCUCUACCAACUGAGCUAUCAAGGUGCUCUAUAGUCACAAGUGCAGACAACAUAGUGGCUUCGAAGACACACUAUGCCCACAGAACUAUUCCAACCCAUGGUCAAUGAAAAGCCCAGCCCUACCUGCAGAACAAAGCUUUGCAGUUUGUACCCAACAGUCAUUGCCAGGGACCCAGAACUGAUAAUCAGGACUUUUAGGCUGGGUGAAUAAAAAAUUGAUGGUUGAAAAUUUAAGAAAGAGUUAUCUUGUUUGUGUUUUGACAUUUUGGAGGAGUUGACAGAUAAAGACAAGGCUUGGGGGUAUUUCCAAUGACAAGGAGGUGCUUGGAGCUGGAGUUGAACCAGCGACCUUAGGAUCACAGCGUUUCACACAAGGAGCAUCUUACAGUCCACCGCUCUACAAACUGAGCUAUCAAGGAGCUCUCUAGUCGCAAGUGCAGAAAACAUAGUGGCUUCGAAGACACACUAUGCCCACAGAACUAUUCCAACCCAUGGUCAAUGAAAAGCCCAGCCCUACCUGCAGAACAAAGCUUUGCAGUUUGUACCCAACAGUCAUUGCCAGGGACCCAGAACUGAUAAUCAGGACUUUUAGGCUGGGUGAAUAAAAAAUUGAUGGUUGAAAAUUUACGAAAGAGUUAUCUUGUUUGUGUUUUGACAUUUUGGAGGAGUUGACAGAUAAAGACAAGGCUUGGGGGUAUUUCCAAUGACAAGGAGGUGCUUGGAGCUGGAGUUGAACCAGCGACCUUAGGAUCACAGCGUUUCACACAAGGAGCAUCUUACAGUCCACCGCUGUACCAACUGAGCUAUCAAGGUGCUCGCUAGUCACAAAUGCAGAAAACAUAGUGGCUUCGAAGACACACUAUGCCCACAGAACUAUUCCAACCCAUGGUCAAUGAAAAGCCCAGCCCUACCUGCAGAACAAAGCUUUGCAGUUUGUACCCAACAGUCAUUGCCAGGGACCCAGAACUGAUAAUCAGGACUUUUAGGCUGAGUGAAUAAAAAAUUGAUGGUUGAAAAUUUAAGAAAGAGUUAUCUUGUUUGUGUUUUGACAGAUAAAGACAAGGCUUGGGGGUAUUUCCAAUGACGUGCUUGGAGCUGGAGUUGAACCAGCGACCUUAGGAUCACAGGGUUUCACACAAGGAGCAUCUUACAGUCCACCGCUCUACCGACUGAGCUAUCAAGGUGCUCUCUAGUCACAAGUGCAGAAAACAUAGUGGCUUCGAAGACACACUAUGCCCACAGAACUAUUCCAACCCAUGGUCAAUGAAAAGCCCAGCCCUACCUGCAGAACAAAGCUUUGCAGUUUGUACCCAACAGUCAUUGCCAGGGACCCAGAACUGAUAAUCAGGACUUUUAGGCUGGGUGAAUAAAAAAUUGAUGGUUGAAAAUUUACGAAAGAGUUAUCUUGUUUGUGUUUUGACAUUUUGGAGGAGUUGACAGAUAAAGACAAGGCUUGGGGGUAUUUCCAAUGACAAGGAGGUGCUUGGAGCUGGAGUUGAACCAGCGACCUUAGGAUCACAGCGUUUCACACAAGGAGCAUCUUACAGUCCACCGCUCUACCAACUGAGCUAUCAAGGUGCUCUCUAGUCACAAGUGCAGAAAACAUAGUGGCUUCGAAGACACACUAUGCCCACAGAACUAUUCCAACCCAUGGUCAAUGAAAAGCCCAGCCCUACCUGCAGAACAAAGCUUUGCAGUUUGUACCCAACAGUCAUUGCCAGGGACCCAGAACUGAUAAUCAGGACUUUUAGGCUGGGUGAAUAAAAAAUUGAUGGUUGAAAAUUUACGAAAGAGUUAACUUGUUUGUGUUUUGACAUUUUGGAGGAGUUGACAGAUAAAGACAAGGCUUGGGGGUAUUUCCAAUGACAAGGAGGUGCUUGGAGCUGGAGUUAAACCAGCGGCCUUAGGAUCACAGCGUUUCACACAAGGAGCAUCUUACAGUCCACCGCUCUACCAACUGAGCUAUCAAGGUGCUCUCUAGUCACAAGUGCAGAAAACAUAGUGGCUUCGAAGACACACUAUGCCCACAGAACUAUUCCAACCCAUGGUCAAUGAAAAGCCCAGCCCUACCUGCAGAACAAAGCUUUGCAGUUUGUACCCAACAGUCAUUGCCAGGGACCCAGAACUGAUAAUCAGGACUUUUAGGCUGGGUGAAUAAAAAAUUGAUGGUUGAAAAUUUAAGAAAGAGUUAUCUUGUUUGUGUUUUGACAUUUUGGAGGAGUUGACAGAUAAAGACAAGGCUUGGGGGUAUUUCCAAUGACGUGCUUGGAGCUGGAGUUGAACCAGCGGCCUUAGAAUCACAGCGUUUUACACAAGGAGCAUCUUACAGUCCACAGCUCUACCAACUGAGCUAUCAAGGUGCUCUCUAGUCACAAGUGCAGACAACAUAGUGGCUUCGAAGACACACUAUGCCCACAGAACUAUUCCAACCCAUGGUCAAUGAAAAGCCCAGCCCUACCUGCAGAACAAAGCUUUGCAGUUUGUACCCAACAGUCAUUGCCAGGGACCCAGAACUGAUAAUCAGGACUUUUAGGCUGGGUGAAUAAAAAAUUGAUGGUUGAAAAUUUAAGAAAGAGUUAUCUUGUUUGUGUUUUGACAUUUUGGAGGAGUUGACAGAUAAAGACAAGGCUUGGGGGUAUUUCCAAUGACAAGGAGGCGCUUGGAGCUGGAGUUGAACCAGCGACCUUAGGAUCACAGCGUUUCACACAAGGAGCAUCUUACAGUCCACCGCUCUACCAACUGAGCUAUCAAGGUGCUCUCUAGUCACAAGUGCAGAAAACAUAGUGGCUUCGAAGACACACUAUGCCCACAGAACUAUUCCAACCCAUGGUCAAUGAAAAGCCCAGCCCUACCUGCAGAACAAAGCUUUGCAGUUUGUACCCAACAGUCAUUGCCAGGGACCCAGAACUGAUAAUCAGGACUUUUAGGCUGGGUGAAUAAAAAAUUGAUGGUUGAAAAUUUAAGAAAGAGUUAUCUUGUUUGUGUUUUGACAUUUUGGAGGAGUUGACAGAUAAAGACAAGGCUUGGGGGUAUUUCCAAUGACAAGGAGGUGCUUGGAGCUGGAGUUGAACCAGCGACCUUAGGAUCACAGCGUUUCACACAAGGAGCAUCUUACAGUCCACCGCUCUACCAACCGAGCUAUCAAGGUGCUCUCUAGUCACAAGUGCAGAAAACAUAGUGGCUUCGAAGACACACUAUGCCCACAGAACUAUUCCAACCCAUGGUCAAUGAAAAGCCCAGCCCUACCUGCAGAACAAAGCUUUGCAGUUUGUACCCAACAGUCAUUGCCAGGGACCCAGAACUGAUAAUCAGGACUUUUAGGCUGGGUGAAUAAAAAAUUGAUGGUUGAAAAUUUAAGAAAGAGUUAUCUUGUUUGUGUUUUGACAUUUUGGAGGAGUUGACAGAUAAAGACAAGGCUUGGGGGUAUUUCCAAUGACAAGGAAGUGCUUGGAGCUGGAGUUGAACCAGCGACCUUAGGAUCACAGCGUUUCACACAAGGAGCAUCUUACAGUCCACCGCUCUACCAACUGAGCUAUCAAGGUGCUCUCUAGUCACAAGUGCAGAAAACAUAGUGGCUUCGAAGACACACUAUGCCCACAGAACUAUUCCAACCCAUGGUCAAUGAAAAGCCCAGCCCUACCUGCAGAACAAAGCUUUGCAGUUUGUACCCAACAGUCAUUGCCAGGGACCCAGAACUGAUAAUCAGGACUUUUAGGCUGGGUGAAUAAAAAAUUGAUGGUUGAAAAUUUAAGAAAGAGUUAUCUUGUUUGUGUUUUGACAUUUUGGAGGAGUUGACAGAUAAAGACAAGGCUUGGGGGUAUUUCCAAUGACAAGGAGGUGGUUGGAGCUGGAGUUGAACCAGCAACCUUAGGAUCACAGCGUUUCACACAAGGAGCCUCUUGCAGUCCACCGCUCUGCCAACUGAGCUAUCAAGGUGCUCUAUAGUCACAAGUGCAGAAAACAUAGUGGCUUCUAAGACACACUAUGCCCACAGAACUAUUCCAACCCAUGGUCAAUGAAAAGCCCAGCCCUACCUGCAGAACAAAGCUUUGCAGUUUGUACCCAACAGUCAUUGCCAGGGACCCAGAACGGAUAAUCAGGACUUUUAGGCUGGGUGAAUAAAAAAUUGAUGGUUGAAAAUUUAAGAAAGAGUUAUCUUGUUUGUGUUUUGACAUUUUGGAGGAGUUGACAGAUAAAGACAAGGCCUGGGGGUAUUUCCAAUGACAAGGAGGUGCUUGGAGCUGGAGUUGAACCAGCGACCUUAGGAUCACAGCGUUUCACACAAGGAGCAUCUUACAGUCCACCGCUCUACCAACUGAGCUAUCAAGGUGCUCAAUAGUCACAAGUGCAGAAAACAUAGUGGCUUCGAAGACACACUAUGCCCACAGAACUAUUCCAACCCAUGGUCAAUGAAAAGCCCAGCCCUACCUGCAGAACAAAGCUUUGCAGUUUGUACCCAACAGUCAUUGCCAGGGACCCAGAACUGAUAAUCAGGACUUUUAGGCUGGGUGAAUAAAAAAUUGAUGGUUGAAAAUUUAAGAAAGAGUUAUCUUGUUUGUGUUUUGACAUUUUGGAGGAGUUGACAGAUAAAGACAAGGCUUGGGGGUAUUUCCAAUGACGUGCUUGGAGCUGGAGUUGAACCAGCGACCUUUAGGAUCACAGCGUUUCACACAAGGAGCCUCUUGCAGUCCACCGCUCUACCAACUGAGCUAUCAAGGUGCUCUAUAGUCACAAGUGCAGAAAACAUAGUGGCUUCUAAGACACACUAUGCCCACAGAACUAUUCCAACCCAUGGUCAAUGAAAAGCCCAGCCCUACCUGCAGAACAAAGCUUUGCAGUUUGUACCCAACAGUCAUUGCCAGGGACCCAGAACGGAUAAUCAGGACUUUUAGGCUGGGUGAAUAAAAAAUUGAUGGUUGAAAAUUUAAGAAAGAGUUAUCUUGUUUGUGUUUUGACAUUUUGGAGGAGUUGACAGAUAAAGACAAGGCCUGGGGGUAUUUCCAAUGACAAGGAGGUGCUUGGAGCUGGAGUUGAACCAGCGACCUUAGGAUCACAGCGUUUCACACAAGGAGCAUCUUACAGUCCACCGCUCUACCAACUGAGCUAUCAAGGUGCUCAAUAGUCACAAGUGCAGAAAACAUAGUGGCUUCGAAGACACACUAUGCCCACAGAACUAUUCCAACCCAUGGUCAAUGAAAAGCCCAGCCCUACCUGCAGAACAAAGCUUUGCAGUUUGUACCCAACAGUCAUUGCCAGGGACCCAGAACUGAUAAUCAGGACUUUUAGGCUGGGUGAAUAAAAAAUUGAUGGUUGAAAAUUUAAGAAAGAGUUAUCUUGUUUGUGUUUUGACAUUUUGGAGGAGUUGACAGAUAAAGACAAGGCUUGGGGGUAUUUCCAAUGACGUGCUUGGAGCUGGAGUUGAACCAGCGACCUUAGGAUCACAGCGUUUGACACAAGGAGCAACUUACAGUCCACCGCUCUACCAACUGAGCUAUCAAGGUGCUCUCUAGUCACAAGUGCAGAAAACAUAGUGGCUUCGAAGACACACUAUGCCCACAGAACUAUUCCAACCCAUGGUCAAUGAAAAGCCCAGCCCUACCUGCAGAACAAAGCUUUGCAGUUUGUACCCAACAGUCAUUGCCAGGGACCCAGAACUGAUAAUCAGGACUUUUAGGCUGGGUGAAUAAAAAAUUGAUGGUUGAAAAUUUAAGAAAGAGUUAUCUUGUUUGUGUUUUGACAUUUUGGAGGAGUUGACAGAUAAAGACAAGGCUUGGGGGUAUUUCCAAUGACGUGCUUGGAGCUGGAGUUGAACCAGCGACCUUAGGAUCACAGCGUUUCACACAAGGAGCAACUUACAGUCCACCGCUCUACCAACUGAGCUAUCAAAGUGCUCUAUAGUCACAAGUGCAGAAAACAUAGUGGCUUCGAAGACACACUAUGCCCACAGAACUAUUCCAACCCAUGGUCAAUGAAAAGCCCAGCCCUACCUGCAGAACAAAGCUUUGCAGUUUGUACCAAACAGUCAUUGCCAGGGACCCAGAACUGAUAAUCAGGACUUUUAGGCUGGGUGAAUAAAAAAUUGAUGGUUGAAAAUUUAAGAAAGAGUUAUCUUGUUUGUGUUUUGACAUUUUGGAGGAGUUGACAGAUAAAGACAAGGCUUGGGGGUAUUUCCAAUGACAAGGAGGUGCUUGGAGAUGGAGUUGAACCAGCGACCUUAGGUUCACAGCGUUUCACACAAGGAGCAUCUUACAGUCCACCGCUCUACCAACUGAGCUAUCAAGGUGCUCUCUAGUCACAAGUGCAGAAAACAUAGUGGCUUCGAAGACACACUAUGCCCACAGAACUAUUCCAACCCAUGGUCAAUGAAAAGCCCAGCCCUACCUGCAGAACAAAGCUUUGCAGUUUGUACCCAACAGUCAUUGCCAGGGACCCAGAACUGAUAAUCAGGACUUUUAGGCUGGGUGAAUAAAAAAUUGAUGGUUGAAAAUUUACGAAAGAGUUAUCUUGUUUGUGUUUUGACAUUUUGGAGGAGUUGACAGAUAAAGACAAGGCUUGGGGGUAUUUCCAAUGACAAGGAGGUGCUUGGAGCUGGAGUUGAACCAGCGACCUUAGGAUCACAGCGUUUCACACAAGGAGCAUCUUACAGUCCACCGCUCUACCAACUGAGCUAUCAAGGUGCUCUCUAGUCACAAGUGCAGAAAACAUAGUGGCUUCGAAGACACACUAUGCCCACAGAACUAUUCCAACCCAUGGUCAAUGAAAAGCCCAGCCCUACCUGCAGAACAAAGCUUUGCAGUUUGUACCCAACAGUCAUUGCCAGGGACCCAGAACUGAUAAUCAGGACUUUUAGGCUGGGUGAAUAAAAAAUUGAUGGUUGAAAAUUUAAGAAAGAGUUAUCUUGUUUGUGUUUUGACAUUUUGGAGGAGUUGACAGAUAAAGACAAGGCUUGGGGGUAUUUCCAAUGACAAGGAGGUGCUUGGAGCUGGAGUUGAACCAGCGACCUUAGGAUCACAGCGUUUCACACAAGGAGCAUCUUACAGUCCACCGCUCUACCAACUGAGCUAUCAAGGUGCUCUCUAGUCACAAGUGCAGAAAACAUAGUGGCUUCGAAGACACACUAUGCCCACAGAACUAUUCCAACCCAUGGUCAAUGAAAAGCCCAGCCCUACCUGCAGAACAAAGCUUUGCAGUUUGUACCCAACAGUCAUUGCCAGGGACCCAGAACUGAUAAUCAGGACUUUUAGGCUGGGUGAAUAAAAAAUUGAUGGUUGAAAAUUUUAAGAAAGAGUUAUCUUGUUUGUGUUUUGACAUUUUGGAGGAGUUGACAGAUAAAGACAAGGCUUGGGGGUAUUUCCAAUGACAAGGAGGUGCUUGGAGCUGGAGUUGAACCAGCGACCUUAGGAUCACAGCGUUUUCACACAAGGAGCAUCUUACAGUCCACCGCUCUACCAACUGAGCUAUCAAGGUGCUCUCUAGUCACAAGUGCAGAAAACAUAGUGGCUUCAAAGACACACUAUGCCCACAGAACUAUUCCAACCCAUGGUCAAUGAAAAGCCCAGCCCUACCUGCAGAACAAAGCUUUGCAGUUUGUACCCAACAGUCAUUGCCAGGGACCCAGAACUGAUAAUCAGGACUUUUAGGCUGGGUGAAUAAAAAAUUGAUGGUUGAAAAUUUAAGAAAGAGUUAUCUUGUUUGUGUUUUGACAUUUUGGAGGAGUUGACAGAUAAAGACAAGGCUUGGGGGUAUUUCCAAUGACAAGGAGGUGCUUGGAGCUGGAGUUGAACCAGCGACCUUAGGAUCACAGCGUUUCACACAAGGAGCAUCUUACAGUCCACCGCUCUACCAACUGAGCUAUCAAGGUGCUCUCUAGUCACAAGUGCAGAAAACAUAGUGGCUUCGAAGACACACUAUGCCCACAGAACUAUUCCAACCCAUGGUCAAUGAAAAGCCCAGCCCUACCUGCAGAACAAAGCUUUGCAGUUUGUACCCAACAGUCAUUGCCAGGGACCCAGAACUGAUAAUCAGGACUUUUAGGCUGGGUGAAUAAAAAAUUGAUGGUUGAAAAUUUAAGAAAGAGUUAUCUUGUUUGUGUUUUGACAUUUUGGAGGAGUUGACAGAUAAAGACAAGGCUUGGGGGUAUUUCCAAUGAUGUGCUUGGAGCUGGAGUUGAACCAGCGGCCUUAGAAUCACAGCGUUUUACACAAGGAGCAUCUUACAGUCCACAGCUCUACCAACUGAGCUAUCAAGGUGCUCUCUAGUCACAAGUGCAGACAACAUAGUGGCUUCGAAGACACACUAUGCCCACAGAACUAUUCCAACCCAUGGUCAAUGAAAAGCCCAGCCCUACCUGCAGAACAAAGC
rnacentral:lncRNA from 1 species